rnacentral:rRNA from 1 species
UACGUAGGGGGCAAGCGUUAUCCGGAAUCAUUGGGCGUAAAGCGCGUGUAGGCGGUUCCGUAAGUCCGCUCUGAAAGCCCAGGGCUCAACCCUGGGAGGCGGGUGGAUACUACGGAACUGGAGUACGGAAGAGGAGAUUGGAAUUCCUGGUGUAGCGGUGAAAUGCGCAGAUAUCAGGAGGAACACCAAUAGCGAAGGCAGCUCGCUGGGACGUUACUGACACUGAGGCGCGAAAGCGUGGGGAGCGAACAGG